AUUGAACGCUGGCGGCAGGCUUAACACAUGCAAGUCGAGCGGAGAUGAGGUGCUUGCACCUUAUCUUAGCGGCGGACGGGUGAGUAAUGCUUAGGAAUCUGCCUAUUAGUGGGGGACAACAUUCCGAAAGGAAUGCUAAUACCGCAUACGUCCUACGGGAGAGAGCAGGGGAUCCUCGGACCUUGCGCUAAUAGAUGAGCCUAAGUCGGAUUAGCCAGUUGGUGGGGUAAAGGCCUACCAAGGCGACGAUCCGUAGCGGGUCUGAGAGGAUGAUCCGCCACACUGGGACUGAGACACGGCCCAGACUCCUACGGGAGGCAGCAGUGGGGAAUAUUGGACAAUGGGGGGAACCCUGAUCCAGCCAUGCCGCGUGUGUGAAGAAGGCCUUAUGGUUGUAAGGCACUUUAAGCGAGGAGGAGGCUACUGAGACUAAUACUCUUGGAUAGUGGACGUUACUCGCAGAAUAAGCACCGGCUAACUCUGUGCCAGCCGCCGCCGUAA
rnacentral:rRNA from 1 species